GACGAACGCUGGCGGCGUGCUUAACACAUGCAAGUCGAACGGCAGCACGGGUGCUUGCACCUGGUGGCGAGUGGCGAACGGGUGAGUAAUACAUCGGAACGUACCUUAUCGUGGGGGAUAACGCAGCGAAAGCUGUGCUAAUACCGCAUACGCCCUGAGGGGGAAAGCGGGGGAUCGCAAGACCUCGCGCGAUUAGAGCGGCCGAUGCCUGAUUAGCUAGUUGGUGGGGUAAAAGCCCACCAAGGCGACGAUCAGUAGCUGGUCUGAGAGGACGAUCAGCCACACUGGGACUGAGACACGGCACAGACUCCUACGGGAGGCAGCAGUGGGGAAUUUUGGACAAUGGGGGCAACCCUGAUCCAGCAAUGCCGCGUGAGUGAAGAAGGCCUUCGGGUUGUAAAGCUCUUUUGUCAGGGAAGAAACACCGGCUCUAACACAGUCCGGGAAUGACGGUACCUGAAGAAUAAGCACCGGCUAACUACGUGCCAGCCGCCGCGGUAA
rnacentral:rRNA from 1 species